GACCGGGCUGCUCCACCUUCACCUCUGAAAAAAGAGAACGAAACAAGGUUCAGAAACAAACUACAGAAAACUGAAGGUCCGAGACCGGGCAGCCGCACCUUCACCUCUGAAAAAAAGAGAACGAAACAAGGUUCAGAAACAAACUACAGAAAACUGAAGGUCCGAGACCGGGCAGCCGCACCUUCACCUCUGAAAAAAGAGAACGAAAACAAGGUUCAGAAACAAACUACAGAAAACUGAAGGUCUGAGACCGGGCUGCUCCACCUUCACCUCUGAAAAAAAAGAGAACGAAAACAAGGUUCAGAAACAAACUACAGAAAACUGAAGGUCAGAGACCAGACUGCCGCACCUUCACCUCUGAAAAAAGAGAACGAAACAAGGUUCAGAAGCAAACUACAGAAAACUGAAGGUCCGAGACCGGGCAGCCGCACCUUCACCUCUGAAAAAAAGAGAACGAAACAAGGUUCAGAAACAAACUACAGAAAACUGAAGGUCCGAGACCGGGCAGCCGCACCUUCACCUCUGAAAAAAGAGAACGAAAACAAGGUUCAGAAACAAACUACAGAAAACUGAAGGUCCGAGACCGGGCAGCCGCACCUUCACCUCUGAAAAAAGAGAACGAAAACAAGGUUCAGAAACAAACUACAGAAAACUGAAGGUCAGAGACCGGGCUGCCGCACCUUCACCUCUGAAAAAA